AAAUUUGGUCAUAUCACAUUGAAUGCACCAGUUCUCAUUGAUUCACCGAAGUUACAAUGUUGAGUCUAGUUAGUUCUUAGAUGGGUGACUGCUUGGGAAACCUUGGUGCUGUAAGCA
rnacentral:rRNA from 1 species